CCUACGGGGGGCUGCAGUGGGGAAUAUUGGACAAUGGGCGAAAGCCUGAUCCAGCCAUGCCGCGUGUGUGAAGAAGGCCUUCGGGUUGUAAAGCACUUUCAGUGGGGAAGAAAGCCUUGGGGCUAAUACCCUCGAGGAAGGACAUCACCCACAGAAGAAGCACCGGCUAACUCCGUGCCAGCAGCCGUGGUAAUACGGAGGGUGCGAGCGUUAAUCGGAAUUACUGGGCGUAAAGCGCGCGUAGGCGGUCUGAUAAGCCGGUUGUGAAAGCCCCGGGCUCAACCUGGGAACGGCAUCCGGAACUGUCAGGCUAGAGUGCAGGAGAGGAAGGUAGAAUUCCCGGUGUAGCGGUGAAAUGCGUAGAGAUCGGGAGGAAUACCAGGGGCGAAGGCGGCCUUCUGGACUGACACUGACGCUGAGGUGCGAAAGCGUGGGUAGCAAACAGGAUUAGAUACCCCAGUAGUC
rnacentral:rRNA from 1 species